rnacentral:rRNA from 1 species
AAACUCAAAGGAAUUGACGGGGGCCCGCACAAGCGGAGGAGCAUGUGGUUUAAUUCGAUGAUACGCGAGGAACCUUACCUGGGCUAGAACGUAGAAUGACCAUAGGUGAAAGCUUAUAUCCCUUCGGGGCAGUCUACGAGGUGCUGCAUGGUUGUCGUCAGCUCGUGCCGUGAGGUGUCGGGUUAAGUCCCAUAACGAGCGCAACCCCUAUCUUUAGUUGCCAACAGGUCAAGCUGGGGACUCUAAAGAAACUGCCUACGCAAGUAGUGAGGAAGGCGGGGAUGACGUCAAAUCAGCACGGCCCUUACGUCCAGGGCUACACACGUGCUACAAUGGCCGAUACAGAGGGCAGCUACCAGGUGACUGGAUGCAAAUCUCCAAAGUCGGUCUCAGUUCGGAUCGGAGUCUGCAACCCGACUCCGUGAAGUUGGAUUCGCUAGUAAUCGCGCAUCAGCCAUGGCGCGGUGAAUACGUUCCCGGGCCUUGUACACACCGCCCGUCAAGCCAUGGAAGCUGGGGGGACCUAAAGUCGAUAACCGUAAGGAGUCGCCUAGGGUAAAACCAGUGACUGGGGCUAAGUCGUAACAAGGUAGCCGUACCGGAAGGUGUGGCUGGAAUACCUCCU